rnacentral:other from 1 species
GUCCCUCUGUAGGUUCCGUGAGGAGGAGUAGUGAAUCCCUGACCAGGUCGAACAGGGGGUUUCAUCGCCCGUGGUGUGCAGGCCCAGCAAUCAUCACUGGGAAGCCUGAAGCGGGUGAAACAGACUCCCACCUACUGAACAAGUAGGGGUUCGACUCCAAAUAACCCCACGUUCCAAACGGUACGGAC